UAAACAUUACCACUUAAUCGGGUCACAUGUGAAGGUCUUGAAGGGUUUAUGAUAAAAACAGCAGCAUUACUAACAGGCAGCAGAAAAGUCGAAACUGCAUCAGUUCAGACAAAAGAAGACUGUUUGAACAAAAUAUUGCUUUGUCAAGAAGAGCAAGAUAGAAGUAAGGCGACGUUAUGAGCAUUUCCUUACGCAGCAUGUGUAUGGAGCCAUGACUGAGCAGAGAUGUGACAGGGUCAUCCGCGACAGACGCAUCACACAAUCCCAAAAUGGCAACGACUGCAAAGAAGU